CCUACGGGUGGCAGCAGUGGGGAAUAUUGCACAAUGGGGGGAACCCUGAUGCAGCAACGCCGCGUGGGUGAAGAAGUACUUCGGUAUGUAAAGCCCUGUCAGCAGGGAAGAAAAUGACGGUACCUGACCAAGAAGCCCCGGCUAACUACGUGCCAGCAGCCGCGGUAAUACGUAGGGGGCAAGCGUUAUCCGGAUUUACUGGGUGUAAAGGGAGCGUAGACGGCAAGGCAAGUCUGGAGUGAAAGCCCGUGGCUCAAACACGGGACUGCUUUGGAAACUGUGUUGCUAGAGUGUCGGAGAGGCAGGCGGAAUGCCUGGUGUAGCGGUGAAAUGCGUAGAUAUUAGGAGGAACACCAGUGGCGAAGGCGGCCUGCUGGACGAUGACUGACGUUGAGGCUCGAAAGCGUGGGGAGCAAACAGGAUUAGAUACCCGUGUAGUC
rnacentral:rRNA from 1 species